rnacentral:rRNA from 1 species
GGACCUUACCCAGGCUUGACAUACAGUAGACAACGCUAGAGAUAGCGUCUCCCGCAAGGGCUGCUGUACAGGUGCUGCAUGGCUGUCGUCAGCUCGUGCCGUGAGGUGUUGGGUUAAGUCCCGCAACGAGCGCAACCCUUAUCAUUAGUUGCCAGCACGUAAUGGUGGGAACUCUAGUGAGACUGCCCGGGUUAACCGGGAGGAAGGUGAGGAUGACGUCAAGUCCGCAUGGCCCUUAUGUCUGGGGCUACACACGUGCUACAAUGGUCGGUACAGAGGGCAGCCAAACCGCGAGGUGGAGCAAAUCCCAUAAAACCGACCCCAGUUCAGAUUGUAGUUUGCAACUUGACUACAUGAAGUUGGAAUGCUAGUAAUGGCGCGUCA